rnacentral:lncRNA from 1 species
UAUGGAGCUAGGGGAAAAAAUUAUCCUACAUCUCAAGUGAUCUUCAAAAUGAUUUUCAUAACAUCAGUCACCAAAGCAAUAAUAACCAGGCAUACAAGAGAGAAGAUAACAUAAAACCUUGGACAAAUAACAAGCAAUAUAAACCUCCCAUAAGAUGAAGGAAUAAUACUACAGGAACGGUGUUAAAAACAUUCGGGGCUAGCUUUGACAUUGAAAUUCACUAGAAUGGGGAGCAUGACAUGAUUACAGACCACAGCACCAUGCCAGCCAUAAUGGACACUGCUGCUCUCAAGUGGAGUGGGCAAGACCAUGUGGGGAAACCGAAUAUGUGACCUGCACAUGGCCAGUUCCUC